UUUUUCUCUUACCAGACAAAUGAGAUUGGCACUCUUUUUCUUCUUGGACACAGCCUGUUUUCUCAAAUUCUGGCAACUUGGCGUCACCUAUAAUUUAGAAUCAGGUUCCAAAUCCUCCACUUCAGGCUCGUAGUCUGGUAUUAUCCUAUCUUCUUUAAAUUUUAGGAGAGAAAUGGAUUGUCCGAAUUUGGAUAUUCAUGCUCGGAUUGUGAGUCUUCAAAUGAUUCCUCCACUGAUAUCAGUCGUUCGGAUUAAACUUUGAAAUUGGUAUUAUUAUCGUCACUGCUCCAAUUUUUUAUCGUUAUGCAUGUAAACCAAAAUUCCCUGCUUGGAGUUGUAAGACAAGUUAAGGAUCGAAAGAUAUAGGCCUAUAGCAAUGUGAUAAACAAAUACAAAAUAAAUUUAAACUC